UUAUAGGGAUGCCCCUUUGAUGUUUUACAUUCUUCUAUAUAGGCUCUUGUAAUACUUAAUUCAUAAUGUAUUAUUGCAUCAUCAUUAUAUGCAUUUGUUUAACAUCAAACUGUCAAAAUGUCUCACUGUUCAAACACAAUACCACAUUCAAAGUCAGUUAUAUUCUAUAGAUAAAAAUGGUUGCACACCACUUCACAGAGCAUGUAUGGACAGUAACUUUGAAGAGGUUGAUAAAUUGUUAUGCUAUGAAGCAGUGGAUAUCAAUGUUACUGAUAACAAUGGACGCAUACCACUUUUUUAUGCUUGUGAGGAGGGUAAUGAAAAAAUUAUUCAACUUCUCAUUGCAUUUGAAAAUAAACAGGAUCCUGUAAAUUUAAUCUUAUUAAAUGUGACAUCAAUCAUGUUGAUACUUAUAAACGUACAGCACUUCAUAUUGCCAGUUUAAAAGGACAUACACAAGUAGUCCAACUAUUAUUGGAGCAUAAAGCUAAUGUCAAUCUCGCUGAUAAAGAUGAACGUACAGCACUUGAUAUGGCUG